AAUAGAUACCCAGGUAGUCCACGCCGUAAACGAUGAAUGCUAGGUGUUAGGGGUUUCGAUACCCUUGGUGCCGAAGUUAACACAUUAAGCAUUCCGCCUGGGGAGUACGGUCGCAAGACUGAAACUCAAAGGAAUUGACGGGGACCCGCACAGGCAGUGGAGUAUGUGGUUUAAUUCGAAGCAACGCGAAGAACCUUACCAGGUCUUGACAUCCCUCUGACCGGUCCAGAGAUGGGCCUUUCCUUCGGGACAGAGGAGACAGGUGGUGCAUGGUUGUCGUCAGCUCGUGUCGUGAGAUGUUGGGUUAAGUCCCGCAACGAGCGCAACCCUUGGGUCUAGUUGCCAGCACGUUGGGGUGGCACUCUAGAUCGACUGCCGGUGACAAACCGGNGGAAGGCGGGGAUGACGUCAAAGUCAUCAUGCCCCUUAUGACCUGGGCUACACACGUACUACAAUGGCCGUUACAAAGGGAAGCGAAGCCGCGAGGCGGAGCCAAUCCCAGCAAAGGCGGUCUCAGUUCGGAUUGCAGG
rnacentral:rRNA from 1 species